rnacentral:rRNA from 1 species
UACGUAGGGUCCGAGCGUUGUCCGGAGUUAUUGGGCGUAAAGGGCGCGUAGGCGGCUUGGCAAGUGGAAGGUGAAAUCCCUCGGCUUAACCGAGGAACUGCCCUCCAAACUGCUUCGCUUGAGACCGGGAGAGGUGAGUGGAAUUCCCAGUGUAGCGGUGAAAUGCGUAGAUAUCUGGAGGAACACCGGUGGCGAAGGCGGCAUCCUGGACCGGCAUUGACGCUGAGGCGCGAAAGCCAGGGGAGCAAACGGG